GACGAACGCUGGCGGCGUGCUUAACACAUGCAAGUCGAACGGAAAGGCCCUGCUUUUGUGGGGUGCUCGAGUGGCGAACGGGUGAGUAACACGUGAGUAACCUGCCCUUGACUUUGGGAUAACUUCAGGAAACUGGGGCUAAUACCGGAUAGGAGCUCCUGCUGCAUGGUGGGGGUUGGAAAGUUUCGGCGGUUGGGGAUGGACUCGCGGCUUAUCCGCUUGUUGGUGGGGUAGUGGCUACCAAGGCUUUGACGGGUAGCCGGCCUGAGAGGGUGACCGGCCACAUUGGGACUGAGGUACGGACCAGUCUCCAACGGGCGGCAGCAGUGGGGAAUAUUGCACAAUGGGCGGAAGCCUGAUGCAGCAACGCCGCGUGCGGGAUGACGGCCUUCGGGUUGUAAACCGCUUUCGCCUGUGACGAAGCGUGAGUGACGGUAAUGGGUAAAGAAGCACCGGCUAACUACGUG
rnacentral:rRNA from 1 species